rnacentral:rRNA from 1 species
AGCGGUGAAAUGCCAAUCGAACUCGGAGAUAGCUGGUUCUCCUCGAAAUGUAUCUAGGUACAGCCUCGUGUGUUUUCUUCUGGGGGUAUGGCUCUGAAUGGACUAGGGGGCAUAGCGCUUACCAAACCCAAUCAAACCGGGAAUACCAGAAGAUUAGAACACGGGAGUGAGACUGCGGGAGCUAACUUCCGUAGUCAAGAGGGAAACAACCCAGACCCCCGGCUAAGGUCCCUAAAUCCAUGCUCAGUGUGCAAGGAUGUCCAGUUGCAUAGACAACCAGGAUGUUGGCUUAGAAGCAGCCAUCAUUUAAAGAGUGCGUAACUGCUCACUGGUCGAGUGGCCGGGCGCCGACAAUGUAACGGGGCUUAAGCAUGGUACCGAAGCUAGGGGACCGCUUUUUAGCGGUCGGUAGAGGAGCGUUCUGUAUGCAAUGAAGCUGUGCGGGUGACCGUCGGUGGAGCGUCCAGAAGUGAGAAUGUAGGCAUGAGUAGCGAAAUUCAGGUGAGAACCCUGAACGCCGUAAGCCCGAGGGAUCCUACGCAAAGCUAAUCCGCGUAGAGUUAGGCGGGCCUAAGCUGAGGGCGAGAGCCGUAAGCGAUGGACAGCAGGUAAGUAUUCCUGCCCCACCAUAUGGGCGUUUGAGAUAUGAGGUGUGACCCGGAAGGAUAGACAGAGCGGAUCCUGUGGACAUGGUCCGUUUCUGCACCGUAGGCGUCUGGCGAUAGGAAAAUCCGUUGCCAGGUUAAGCGGAGGGUGCGGAGGGUAGUGGAGACUUUGUCAAAGCGACUCUGUUGAGUCCAUGCCGGCUAGAAAAGCAUCGAUAUCGAGUGCAUAUGGUGCCCGUACCGCAAACCGACACAGGUGGGCGACGGUAAGUACCGUAAGGCGAACGAGAGAACCUUCGUUAAGGAACUCGGCAAAAUAGCUCCGUAACUUCGGGAGAAGGAGCGCCCUUGUGAGUGAAGCACUUUACGUGCCGAGCAUUACGAGGGCCGCAGUGAGCAGGCCCAGGCGACUGUUUAACAAAAACACAGGUCUCUGCUAACCGGUAACGGGAUGUAUAGGGGCUGACGCCUGCCCAGUGCCGGAAGGUUAAGGAGAUGGCUGAGAGGCCAGAACUGAAGCCCCGGUGAACGGCGGCCGUAACUAUAACGGUCCUAAGGUAGCGAAAUUCCUUGUCGGGUAAGUUCCGACCCGCACGAAUGGCGUAACGAUCUGGGCACUGUCUCAACGAAGGACUCGGCGAAAUUGAGAUGGCCGUGAAGACGCGGCCUACCCGCAGCAGGACAAAUAGACCCCGUGGAGCUUUACUGCAGUUUGGCGCUGGCGUAUGUGAUUAGUUGUAUAGCAUAUGGGGGAGGCUUUGAACCGUGGCCGCUAGGCUGCGGGGAGCCACCAGUGGAAUACCCCACCUCUAAUUUUGUACUCCUCACCAGUGAGCAAGCACUGGGACAGCGCCUGAUGGGCAGUUUGACUGGGGCGGUCGCCUCCGAAAGAGUAACGGAGGCGCGCAAUGGUUCCCUCAAGGUGGAUGGUAAUCACCUGUUGAGUGCAUUGGCAUAAGGGAGCUUGACUGCAAGACUGACAAGUCGAGCAGGGGCGAAAGCCGGCCAAAGUGAUCCUAUGGUCCCGAGUGGAAGGGCCAUGGCUUAACGGAUAGAAGCUACCCCGGGGAUAACAGGCUGAUCCUUCCCAAGAGUUCACAUCGACGGAAGGGUUUGGCACCUCGAUGUCGGCUCGUCGCAUCCUGGGGCUGAAGAAGGU